CAAAUGCGAACAUAAAUACUUUGUGUGCGGAUUUUAGACACACAAACAUUUCUUUCUCUCCACUGUAUUCCUUGCAUAAAGUACCUUUAGCACGCUGCGUCGAAUCAAAAUGGCGGGUUUUCUGUCAAGAGCAGCUACAUUUGGACAGAGAGCGUUUGCUUUGAGCAUGUUUGGCUGUACUGGCGUCUUGCUAUUUCUCACUUUUCGUGGUUAUUAUGUCAUGAGAAGUAAAAGAUUAGAGAAACUCCAGCAAAUGGAGGAUUUAGCUGGUCAAAGCACAGUUGAAACCAAAACAGAUAAUUGAACAGAAAAGACAUUUUAAAGAUAACAGUAGGAAUGAGAAGCAAAUAGAAGAAAAUGCAUAAUGACUAUCUGGUGCUGCAGACUUGGUGAUACAGAGAAGAAAAAAGCAUCAAGGAUUAGUGGCUAAUAAUUCUACUUAUGGAUUAUCUCAAAUAUGAGUAACAUAUCAAGCAUUUAUAUAAAAAAAAGUUUGUCAAAUAACUAGGCUGCAUAAAGCCCUUUUCAUCAGCAUCUGGUUUACUUGUACCAAGUACUUAUGUUAAGUAAUGUUCUGAAAUAAUAAUUUAUGUGAUACCAA